rnacentral:rRNA from 1 species
UCCAGACUCCUACGGGAGGCAGCAGUGGGGGAUAUUGGACAAUGGGGGAAACCCUGAUCCAGCGACGCCGCGUGAGUGAAGAAGUAUUUCGGUAUGUAAAGCUCUCUCAGCAGGGAAGAAGAUGACGGUACCUGACUAAGAAGCCCCGGCUAACUACGUGCCAGCAGCCGCGGUAAUACGUAGGGGGCAAGCGUUAUCCGGAUUUACUGGGUGUAAAGGGAGCGUAGACGGCAAGGCAAGUCUGGAGUGAAAGCCCGUGGCCCAACCACGGGACUGCUUUGGAAACUGUGUUGCUGGAGUGCAGGAGGGGUAAGCGGAAUUCCUAGCGUAGCGGUGAAAUGCGUAGAUAUUAGGAGGAACACCAGUGGCGAAGGCGGCCUGCUGGGCUUUAACUGACGCUGAGGCUCGAAAGCGUGGGGAGCAAACAGGAUUAGAUACCCUAGUA